rnacentral:rRNA from 1 species
GUAGGUGGCAAGCGUUGUCCGGAAUUAUUGGGCGUAAAGCGCGCGCAGGUGGUUCUUUAAGUCUGAUGUGAAAGCCCCCGGCUCAACCGGGGAGGGUCAUUGGAAACUGGGGAACUUGAGUGCAGGAGAGGAAAGUGGAAUUCCACGUGUAGCGGUGAAAUGCGUAGAUAUGUGGAGGAACACCAGUGGCGAAGGCGACUUUCUGGCCUGUAACUGUCACUGAGGCGCGAAAGCGUGGGGAGCAAACAGGGAUUAGAUACCCUGGUAGUCCACGCCGUAAACGAUGAGUGCUAAGUGUUGGGGGGGUUUCCCGCCCCUCAGUGCUGCAGCUAACGCAUUAAGCACUCCGCCUGGGGAUACGGUCGCAAGACUG